rnacentral:rRNA from 1 species
GACGAACGCUGGCGGCGUGCUUAACACGUGCAAGUCGAACGGUGAAGCGAGUGCUUGCACUCGUGGAUCAGUGGCGAACGGGUGAGUAACACGUGAGUAACCUGCCCAUCACUCUGGGAUAAGCACUGGAAACGGUGUCUAAUACUGGAUACGACCAACCCUUGCAUGGGGUGUUGGUGGAAAGAUUUAUCGGUGAUGGAUGGACUCGCGGCCUAUCAGCUUGUUGGCGGGGUAAUGGCCCACCAAGGCGACGACGGGUAGCCGGCCUGAGAGGGUGACCGGCCACACUGGGACUGAGACACGGCCCAGACUCCUACGGGAGGCAGCAGUGGGAAUAUUGCACAAUGGGCGAAAGCCUGAUGCAGCGACGCCGCGUGAGGGAUGACGGCCUUCGGGUUGUAAACCUCUUUCAGCAGGGAAGAAGCGAAAGUGACGGUACCUGCAGAAGAAGCACCGGCUAACUACGUG